rnacentral:pre_miRNA from 1 species
AUGUAGGGUAGUCUCUCUUUGGGUAGGGAAAAAUUACUCUAAAAGAAAUGAAUCUUAGAUAGUUUUCUCUUCAAGUCAAGCAUCUUGU